GACGGAGGAUGCAAGCGUUAUCCGGAAUUAUUGGGCGUAAAGCGUCCGCAGGUGGCUGUUCAAGUCUGCUGUCAAAGCGCAGAGCUUAACUCUGUACAGGCGGUGGAAACUGAAGAGCUAGAGUAUGGUAGGGGUAGAGGGAAUUCCCGGUGUAGCGGUGAAAUGCGUAGAUAUCGGGAAGAACACCAGUGGCGAAGGCGACUUCCUGGCCUGUUCUUGACGCUGAGGCGCGAAAGCUAGGGUAGCAAACGGG
rnacentral:rRNA from 1 species